GAGGUAGUUUUACAGAACAGGAGAGGUCUUGAUUUGUUGUUCCUAAAGGAAGGAAGACUGUGUGCUGCCCUUAAAGAAGAGUGCUGCUUCUAUGCAGAUCAUACAGGAAUAGUUAGAGACUCUAUGCAGAAACUGAGAGAAAGAUUAGAGCGAAGGAAACGGGAACGGGAUGCUCAACGGGGGUGGUUUGAGUCGUGGUUUGAAUCACGACCAUCUUGGAUAACUUCUUUAAUUUCCGCUGUAGCCGGACCAAUCCUUAUGAUAUGCUUAGCUUUAGUUUUCGGCCCUUGUAUAAUAAAUAGAGGAAUGGCUUUCAUCCAGAGUAAAAUUGAUACAGUAAAACUCAUGGUUCUUCAAAGGCAAUAUCAACCUAUAGUUCAGGUAGAUGAAGAGUUAAGGGACACCGACCUCUAAAAUUCUAUGAUUAGAAUUAGUCUAAACAGAAAAAGAGGGGAAUGAAAGGAAAUAAAACUGUAAUUCAUGUAAUGUAUGUUAAAUAGCCCAAAGAGUUGUUUCUGAGCUUUGAAACCUGGGGCUGAGAACAUAGCAGAACAGACCAGGACAUGCCCGGGCAAGCCCAUCGCCUCCCUAGCUCCCACCCCUCUGACCUAAGUUAAAUGUUACAGGCUGCUGAUGUUUAAAUGGACCAAUCAUGUGAAACCGCGCCAAUUCCUCCCCCAGCCCCACU
rnacentral:lncRNA from 1 species